AUGUCCGCGAUGAGGUACUGCACCACCACGGGGAGCUCCUUGGACAUCUGCAGCUGCACGGUGGGCGCCAGCGGGGUAGCCUUGGUGAACGAGUUGAGGUAGCGGAGCGCAAAGGUGAGCGUCACCGGCUCCUGGAGCUCGAUGAUGGUCUGCUCCUCCUUGUCGACGGAGGUGUUCUGCCUGCAGGUGAUGUUCGCCUGGCCGAUGUCGCCGGUGGUGCUGAACUUGACGCCGUCCUUGGACACGGAGAUGGUCACGGUAUCGCCGAUGGAGGAGAGAUCGCGGCAGAUGCGCAUGAACUCCGAGGAGGGCAUCUUCACGGUGGCGGCGUACUCGGUGUCGGGGAUGCCGAGGUGCUCGGAGUCGAUGUCC
rnacentral:lncRNA from 1 species